ensembl:snoRNA
UUCUUGUGAUGAUUGAUUUUAUGUGUCAACGUGUCUGGACCACUGGGCCGAGAUUAAUAGUGAAAUCAGUGGAG